UUCCAAGUAGUAAAGGAGGAACCUCCGGACCUCUAAGGAGUGCAUGGAGCAUUCUAGAAGUGACAAGGGAUUGAUGUAGAAGGUAGGCAUUAUGAUGUCUUGGUUGUUAUGGAAAUCAGUGACUAUUUUAGGAUGGAAGGAAGCAUCAGGUUGUAGGACCACCUUAUCUGGAUAGCAUUUAGUGUAUGGUGAAUCAGCCCUGAGAGCGGAAAGCUCAGUGAUCUGCCUAGCUGAUGUGAUGGCUACGAGGAAGGAACAGCAAGGGAAGAGGAGCAAGAACUUUCAUGUGACAGUGAGAGCGGAAGAUGAGAAGGAACUAAAUGGGAAUGCACUCUCCCGCCUAUUUUAAGAGGUGCUCCCUCAUGCCUCAGAAUGCCAGAGAGCACCUAUCAGAGCUAAAGAUUUCUCCACGAGGCUACAAGGCAGGCACAGAAAACCCAGUUGUGAGGGAACAUGGAUAACCUCAGAGAUCUAAAUGUUCUGUGAAAGUCUGACUUUAGCAGGCUCUGAAAUAAAACCCUGCACAAAUCA